UGAGCGGCCUGAUCUCCAGCAGGACCUACAAAAACAAGGCCCAGCCAAACCCUGGAAAACGUGAGCCUAGGCAAACACAGAAGCGUGAGUCCCUGGUUCCAUCGUUCUAAAGGUCCUGAUUAGCAUUUCUGUUGCUGGCAGAGAAGACUGACAGUCCAUCAGUCGCAAAUAACAAUCAUGUCGCCUGCAAAAAGAAACUUCGGUUCUUGGGGGAGUUAUUGUUUUUCAGGGUAAAAAAUAUCCCUUGGGCAGGCUCACAUCACUGCAGAAUUUGCAAAACCGAAGGAGAGAAAAAAAAAUGAAAACUGGAAAAAGUUAAGCAUGCAGUAUUUCACAUUGUGAGGAAUAUUUUUGCUUUGGGGACAAUAAGCAGGACGUUUGGAAAGAACUCGCCUACAAUAUGAGAAAAUGGAAGGAUUUCUGUCUUUAGCUGACAUGACAGUAAUAGGACAGACUUGAAGAUUGGCUGCAAUUGAGAUGCCCCAUUACUGCUGGCUUCGUGGGUGUGGAGGUCACACACCAGAUGAAGCCUUGGUGCCAGGCUUUCUUCCAGGGCUCCAGCUUCUAUCUCCUGGAAUAACACUAACUAUGGGACUGGAAGUUUCUAGAAGAAACAGAAAAGGCAUAUCUUGUUCAUGGACCCAGUGACUGUGCUGACCUCAUUGGUGUCUCUAGCUGAGUGAAAGAAAUGGAGCAUGGAGUCCAGGAGUGGAGCACACCCUGAAACACCCACCAGCCAAGGAUUCCAGAAGCAUGGGAAACAACAUAAAUUCCAGCAUCUUAGCUUCUAAACAGAAGCUGAUCAAGUCAAUGAUUCCUUAACACAACUGAACUAAUGGGAAAUUGAGCAAGAGCUGGCAGCUCUGGCUGUGACAGACGAGAGAUGCAUGUGAGAAAAGCGGGGGAAGUGGAGAGACUCUUUAGCCUCGAGUCAGAAUUGUGUCCAUCUCAGUGUCAUUCCGCCUCAGGAAUCUGGAGAUGAAAAUAAUUUAGCUUUGAAACACACGCAGGCUAUUCCAGAACACCGCCGACAAUUAUAAGUAUGGAGUGGGGAUACGGGAAUAGGUUCCUACUGUGCAAAAUUGCAUGUUAUUGAAUUGAUUGAGUUGUCAUUCAGAAAAGGUGAUUUUAGAAAUGAAGCUAGCAGAGAAAUAAA